rnacentral:tRNA from 1 species
AGGGGGAGGCUGAGUGGUAGAGCCGGUGCUUAGCAUGCAUGAGGUCCUGGGUUCAAUCCCCAGUCCCUCCA